rnacentral:rRNA from 1 species
GACGAACGCUGGCGGCGUGCUUAACACAUGCAAGUCGAACGGAAAGGCCCUGCUUUUGUGGGGUGCUCGAGUGGCGAACGGGUGAGUAACACGUGAGUAACCUGCCCUUGACUUUGGGAUAACUUCAGGAAACUGGGGCUAAUACCGGAUAGGAGCUCCUGCUGCAUGGUGGGGGUUGGAAAGUUUCGGCGGUUGGGGAUGGACUCGCGGCUUAUCAGCUUGUUGGUGGGGUAGUGGCUUACCAAGGCUUUGACGGGUAGCCGGCCUGAGAGGGUGACCGGCCACAUUGGGACUGAGAUACGGCACAGACUCCUACGGGAGGCAGCAGUGGGGAAUAUUGCACGAUGGGCGGAAGCCUGAUGCAGCAACGCCGCGUGCGGGAUGACGGCCUUCGGGUUGUAAACCGCUUUCGCCUGUGACGAAACGUGAGUGACGGUAAUGGGUAAAGAAGCACCGGCUAACUACGUG